rnacentral:rRNA from 1 species
GACAGCAGUAGCCGCGGUAAAACAGAGGGUGCGAGCGUUAAUCGGAUUUACUGGGCGUAAAGCGUGCGUAGGCGGCUUCUUAAGUCGGAUGUGAAAUCCCUGAGCUUAACUUAGGAAUUGCAUUCGAUACUGGGAAGCUAGAGUAUGGGAGAGGAUGGUAGAAUUCCAGGUGUAGCGGUGAAAUGCGUAGAGAUCUGGAGGAAUACCGAUGGCGAAGGCAGCCAUCUGGCCUAAUACUGACGCUGAGGUACGAAAGCAUGGGGAGCAAACAGGAUUAGAUACCCCAGUAGUCCCUGUCUCUUAUAC